rnacentral:tRNA from 1 species
GGAUGAGUAGCUCAACGACAGAGUAAUGCCCUGUUAAGGCAAAGGUUGAAAGUUCAAAUCUUUCUUCAUCCGCAA